rnacentral:rRNA from 1 species
CUGGAAACAGCGGUUAGGAGCUUACACCCACCCGUGUUUAUAUACUAUUGUUGCUUUGGCGGGCCGUGGCCUCCACUGCGGGCUCUGCUCGUGUGUGCCCGCCAGAGGACCAAACUCUGAAUGUUAGUGAUGUCUGAGUACUAUCUAAUAGUUAAAACUUUCAACAACGGAUCUCUUGGUUCUGGCAUCGAUGAAGAACGCAGCGAAAUGCGAUAAGUAAUGUGAAUUGCAGAAUUCAGUGAAUCAUCGAAUCUUUGAACGCACAUUGCGCCCUGUGGUAUUCCGCAGGGCAUGCCUGUUCGAGCGUCAUUUAACCACUCACGCCUGGCGUGGUAUUGGGGCACGCGGUCUCGCGGCCCUCAAAAUCAGUGGCGGCGCCGGUGGGCUCUAAGCGUAGUACAUACUCCCGCUAUAGAGUUCUCCCGGUGGCUUGCCAGAACCCCCAAUUUUUACAGGUUGACCUCGGAUCAGGUAGGGAUACCCGCUGAACUUAAGCAUAUC